GUAAAAGUAUCUUAGCAACGCUACUCGGAGCUUCUGUCAUGGCGCCUCUGACGCCUUCUAUUGUAUUGAACCUGAGCGCGAUUGGGAGGUUUCAAAUCGCACAUUUAAAAAUACCUUGCAUGAUCGAAUUAGACAACGAAUAAGCAAUGCCUCCGAAAAGGAGAGGACCUCUUCAGACGGUCCAAAGAGAAACGGAUGACAUCAAGAGAAAGGUGGACGCUUUGGUGCAGCAUGCUGCUAAACCAGAUGCGUCAGACAGGACUGAGACCCUGGAGAGGUGCAAAGAGUUACAGCGCGCUUUGGAGGAAAUUAUGAAGACUCUGAAGAAAUUAUCCAAAG